rnacentral:misc_RNA from 1 species
AGCAGCCGCGGUAAUUCCAGCUCCAAUAGCGUAUAUUAAAGUUGUUGCAGUUAAAAAGCUCGUAGUUGAAUUUCGGGAUCAAUAUGUUGGUCGUGCCUCGGCACGUACUAGCUUAUUGGUUUCUCCUUUCUGAAGAACCAUGAUGUCAUUUAUUUGGUGUCGUGGGGAAUCAGGACUGUUACUUUGAAAAAUUAGAGUGUUUAAAGCAGGCUCACGCUUGAAUACAUUAGCAUGGAAUAAUGAAAUAGGACGUUUGAUUCUAUUUUGUUGGUUCCUAGGAUCGACGUAAUGAUUAAUAGGGAUAGUUGGGGGGCAUUAGUAUUCAAUUGUCAGAGGUGAAAUUCUUGGAUUUAUUGAAGACUAACUACUGCGAAAGCAUUUGCCAUGGAUGUUUUCAUUAAUCAAGAACGAAAGUUAGGGGAUCGAAGACGAUCAGAUACCGUCGUAGUCUUAACCAUAAACUAUGCCGACUAGGGAUCGGAUGAUGUUAAUUUUUAAUGA